CAACAAAGCAAUUAUUCCAUGUCCACUCACUCUUCAGCUUCUCCUGCAACUCUCUAUAUAUAGGAAUAUAGGAUGCUCAUCGUUAAAACAAUUGAUCCAAUGAAAAGCUGAAAAAUAAUCAAUUCAAUCACAUGUUUAUCUUCCCGUGAUGCUAAGAACAGCGUUUCGCGUUUAUUCUUCAGUUUCCAUUUCUUUUUGAUCAUGUGCGUAGCAAUACUCAACUUUAUAACAAGAUUUCAAACUCGAAAGCACUCAUCUUUCCAUGGAGGUUCAAGCCGAAACGCAACCUGGCUCAUCCAUUAAGUACUCUUCCUCUGAAUCUUCUUCUUAUGUGCAUCCAACUUCGUUAAUACUUCAUAGGUUCGAUCUGCCAAGUGUUUGGGAUUAAGUUUGAUCGAUUUAGGACAUAGGAACAGUAAUUUAUUGGCUCUUAUGAUUCGACUGCUUCCUAAAGUUAUGAAAUUUAGAAAAUUGGUGACUGUGUAUAUCUUGAUUUCUAAAUUCUCAGAGAAUUAAACCUAUACAGAGAGGAGCUUAAUCAUGGGUUCGAUCAAUAAAGCUGUGAUUACGCAGUAUCCACACUCGACAACUCUUCUAACCCUUUCAUCUAUUGAUGAUUAUUAACUAUUAAAGUUAUCUCCUUUCGUCAAACUAAAAUUUACUCACUUCCCCCACCCCACGAAAUACUGAUUAUGAAUUGGUCUUGCUUUUGCUUUUCUUUGGGCCGUGUUAGCAACUGGCUAAUUCAUUGCUUAUAGACAAAUGGGAUACACUAUAUCCAAAGGAAUCGAUUUGGCCAGUGCCAAAAGGCUUCUCUUGGUUUCCAACUUCUACAAUGCUAACAUUGCAUUUGUUCUUGCAAGAUUGUAAGGAGUCAAUAUUUCUCUGUAUAUCACCAUUAAGAGACUCACCUCUUCUCGGUGUUUUGAUUGCCAGUUAUCUCUGUUUGGUAAAGGCAAUCCAACAACUCAGGUGCAGGUUGUGUAACUGCAGCUUUUGAAGAUUUUUCUUUUGAUCUUUUUGGGUAUAGUUUUGGCUUCAACAUCUGUCCUUUUCCAGAUUAUGUACUUUGUGAUGGUUGAGAAGUCUGGUGCAGAAGACGGCUUUCCUUGGUCGGCAUAAUGGUGUAUAACAGCUUCCUUUCCCUACCAUUUUUGCACCAUUGUGAACUCUGCACUAACAACAACCAUCUUUAGUUUUUUUUUCUUUGAUCUGACAUUCUGACCGGAUGAGAUUAUGGAACACAUGCUGGAAUCGAGCUAUGUGUCUGCAGAGAUUCUUGCAACAGUUCCAGAUCCAGGUGCAAUGGUUGCAACAAGACCCGUGAAGGAGCAAUAUUAGCGUUCAUCAUGAUCGACCGGAGUAGCUUCUUCUUUUGUUACUUGGGACAUGAGAAUCUGGUGAGGGCUGCUGUUGAAACUAUUGGCUAACGUUGCGUGUAUAUUUAUAAUUUUCUUGACUCUGUGAGUGCUCUCCGUUUAAGCUAUUUUUAUAGA